rnacentral:rRNA from 1 species
UACAGAGGGGGCAAGCGUUAUUCGGAAUUAUUGGGCGUAAAGGGCGCGUAGGCGGCCUGGCAAGUGGAAGGUGAAAUCCCCUCGGCUUAACCGAGGAACUGCCUCCCAAACUGCUUGGCUUGAGACCAGGAGAGGUGAGUGGAAUUCCCAGUGUAGCGGUGAAAUGCGUAGAUAUUGGGAGGAACACCAGUGGCGAAGGCGGCUCACUGGACUGGUACUGACGCUGAGGCGCGAAAGCGUGGGGGGCAAAGCGGG